UUUUUGGAGAGUUUGAUCCUGGCUCAGGACGAACGCUGGCGGCGUGCCUAAUACAUGCAAGUCGAGCGAACUUGAUGAGAGCUGGCUCCCUGAUAGUUAGCGGCGGACGGGUGAGUAACACGUGGGUAACCUGCCUGUAAGACUGGGAUAACUCCGGGAAACCGGGGCUAAUACCGGAUAACUUUUUUCUUCGCAUGAAGGAGAAUUGAAAGAUGGCUCCGGCUAUCACUUACAGAUGGACCCGCGGCGCAUUAGCUAGUUGGUGAGGUAACGGCUCACCAAGGCGACGAUGCGUAGCCGACUUGAGAGGGUGAUCGGCCACACUGGGACUGAGACACGGCCCAGACUCCUAC
rnacentral:rRNA from 1 species